AAACAGAUUGUGCACUUAGAUGUAAACAAAAAAUGGCCUGAUUCUGGUCUCCGCCAGAAUCAAUGUGACCAUUUCAACAGAUUGAAAUUACUUGAAAUGUAUCGUAUACUUGUGGCUUACCUGAUAGUGAUAUCCGAGUAUCCGACAAACAAAAUAUAUUGUUAUCAACACUCUGAUACUUUAUAUCUGAUAGUCUGAUGUUUGGUUUUCACUUUUCACGUGUUUUUGGCGUUUGACGUUUUACGAUUUUUGGUGUUUGCUUAAAUAAAAUAGUUUUUUUUUUGUAAUAUUUUAUAUUUAUACUGUCAUAUUUAUUUUAAAAAAUGACUACUUGUGCAGUCAAGUUUUGCGACAAUAAAAUGUCACUAACGAAAAAUAUAAGCUACUUCAGAUUUCCAAGCGACCCAUUGAGGUGUAAACAAUGGAUGGAAAAAUGUCAAACUGAACAUUUACUGAAAAAAGAUGCUACUAUUUUAUACAAAAAUUACAGGGUGUGUGGUGUUCAUUUUGAAGACAAAAUGUUUUUAAAUCCAAAUAGUAUGAACCGUCUUACAAUGAAUGCUGUGCCAACCAUAUUUAGUGGUAAGAUUUUGUUUAUUAUAAUUAAUAUUUUUAAGACUAAAUGAAACUAUUCUAAUUUGCUUU